rnacentral:rRNA from 1 species
AUUGAACGCUGGCGGCAGGCCUAACACAUGCAAGUCGAACGGUAACAGGAAGAAGCUUGCUUCUUUGCUGACGAGUGGCGGACGGGUGAGUAAUGUCUGGGAAACUGCCUGAUGGAGGGGGAUAACUACUGGAAACGGUAGCUAAUACCGCAUAACGUCGCAAGACCAAAGAGGGGGACCUUCGGGCCUCUUGCCAUCGGAUGUGCCCAGAUGGGAUUAGCUAGUAGGUGGGGUAACGGCUCACCUAGGCGACGAUCCCUAGCUGGUCUGAGAGGAUGACCAGCCACACUGGAACUGAGACACGGUCCAGACUCCUACGGGAGGCAGCAGUGGGGAAAAUUACACAAUGGGCGCAAGCCUGAUGCAGCCAUGCCGCGUGUAUGAAGAAGGCCUUCGGGUUGUAAAGUACUUUCAGCGGGGAGGAAGGGAGUAAAGUUAAUACCUUUGCUCAUUGACGUUACCCGCAGAAGAAGCACCGGCUAACUCCGUG